UACGGAGGGUGCAAGCGUUAUCCGGAUUCACUGGGUUUAAAGGGUGCGUAGGUGGGCUAGUAAGUCAGUGGUGAAAUCUCCGGGCUUAACCCGGAAACUGCCAUUGAUACUAUUAGUCUUGAAUACCAUGGAGGUGAGCGGAAUAUGUCAUGUAGCGGUGAAAUGCUUAGAUAUGACAUAGAACACCAAUUGCGAAGGCAGCUGGCUACACAAAUAUUGACACUGAGGCACGAAAGCGUGGGGAUCAAACAGG
rnacentral:rRNA from 1 species